CUAUGUGUUUGGCCUAUUCUAGGAUCAGAAAACAUGAUGUUGAAUGAAAUGGGCACCAUUCCAGCCUCACAAAACUUGGAUCCUAACAGUCUCAGUUCACAGAAUCUCUGCAGAUUCAAUCUGGCAUCAAAUAACAGCCCAUUCUUCUCUGCCACCAUGGCCACUGGGAGCUGAUGAGGACAAAGAUACAGCACCUUAGCUACAGAAAAGAAGAAAGAAGUGCUUUCAGGGUCGCUCUGAAGACUGAAGAGUAGAAGUCUAGAAGAAAGGCAGUUGGCCCACUGUGCUCCACUGUUUCUAAGCUCCUGAUUCAGCAAACCUCUCGGGACACAGACCUAAUGCAUCCUCCUACUGAAACGUCAAGUCUGCAUUUAUUAUGCAUAUCUUUCCCAGCAGGCAAAGCCUUCCAGGACAGGAAGUGAAACUGCCCCUCAAGCAUUAACUACUACUGCCCUGACUCCAGCAAGAUUCUGCAUGAUUGACCCCAAGACAGUGAUCGACCCAACCUUUACUGCCCAGCACUUGUACCCACCCACCUUUGCCCCACAUUUUCCCUAUAUAAACCUGGAAGUCUUGUCAGCACUCUGGAGGCAGUCUUUGAGACACUGGCCCACUGUCUUCCUGGUGUCAGCCUCACUGAACUAAAUUCCUGUCUUGUUUCACCACCACUCCUCUCCCUGCUUUUGGAUUCUGUCAGUGGCGACCGGCUGAACCUGGUCUGUCUGGGAUGCCCCAGAGCCACGUGCUCUUGCACCUCUGUGACCCAGUUACAUAAGGAAUAAACAAGACAGAGAAACUAUGGCAUAAAGAUGGCAUUAAACUCUCUAGAGAGUGUGUGCAGAGGUUAAGAGCACUAGCUCAGAAGUCAAUGAGCCCUGUUUCAGAUCUUGUUCCCCCCAAUUAACUAGAUAGAUAUGUGACCUUUCCUAACCCUAGGUGCCUCAGUUUCCUAAGCAUUAAAAUGGGGAUAAUAACAGGGGCGUCUGAGUAGCUCAGUCAAUUAAGCGUCCCAC